ACAAAGGCUAAUAUGAGCAUGUGGUGCCAUGCCAUCACAAUUAAGCAUUUACUUAUGAUUGCAAAAUUUUGCAUCAUAUCAUCUAAUACUUUUCAUUCCAAGUAAACUGACAAUUAAAGAGCUUCAGAACGACAGAAUGAUGAAACAGUCACAACACCAGGAUUUCUGUGCAAUAUUCCAGAAUGAUGCAUCUAAAACUUUUCAUUCCAAGUAAACUGACAAUUCAAGAGCUUCUGAACAACAGAAUGAUGAAACAUUCACAAACAAGAAUUUCUCCACAAAUUCCAGAAUGGGAUACAAUUAUUUCAUUCAGGAACAAGUUGCAUCAAUAAAUUGAGUUAGUUUGUAACCAACUAAAAACCCUUUAGAAAAUGAAUACUUCCACUUCCAAUUUCAUUGUAAAUAUGUGUAUCUGUGGGAAAACAUUUAGUUACAAGUGGUUGUAUUUUGUAAUCUGUAAUUUGCUGAUUGUAAUCUGUAUAUAUCUGUAUCCCUAAAAUUGAGAAUUUGUAUCUCUAGAAUUAAGGACAGAAUAUCAGGAUAGACAAUUCCUUGAUUAUAGGGAUUAGAUUUAGGAAUAUUUAGUUUCCUAGUUUACUCUCUAGCUAGUUGUAUUUAAAUCUAUGGUGUUUGUAUGAUUCAAUACACAAGUUUUUCAAUAUACUCUCAUUUUUCCACAUGGUAUCAGAGCUUUAGACUCUUCUUGGGAAGAAAAUUUCUCAGCCUUCAUUGCUGAAUUUUUUUUUUUUGGGCCUUCAUAGCCAAAUUUUGUUAAGUCUAUCAUACUUUUAUUUUGUUCCUUUUUGGCCUUCAUUGCCUAUACUUGUUUCAGUCCUGAGAAAGGUAAUCAUGUCAGAAAUAGCAGAAUCUGCCGCUACUACUCGAUUUGGAGAAGUAACAACUGGUCAAACCACAGCGGAAUUACAGAAUAUCCAAGCUGCAUACAGGUUGAAUGGAAAGAAUUACUUGAAGUGGUCUCAGUUGGUUCAAACCUUUCUAAAAGGGAAAGGAAAAUUGAGCCAUCUUCUUGGCACUGGUCCUGAGAAAGGAGAUCCAAAAUUUGAGGCUUGGGAUGAAGAGGAUUCUAUGGUUAUGUCAUGGCUGUGGAAUUCUAUGACGCCAGAUAUUAGUGACACUUGUAUGUUUUUGUCCACGGCCAAAGACAUUUGGGAAUCAAUUCGUCAAACCUAUUCCAAAGUUAAAGAUGCCGCUCAAGUCUAUGAAGUCAAGAUCAAGACUGUAGCUCUCAAACAAGGGAAUAAGUCAGUCACAGAGUAUGCUAUUCUUCUUAAAAAUCUUUGGCAAGAGAUGGAUCACUACCGGUGCAUAGAAAUAAAGUGCAGUGAAGAUGCAACAACUUUGAAGAAAUUUAUUGAAAAAGAUCGAGUCUAUGAUUUUCUUGCUGGACUGAAUGUUGAGUUUGAUCAAGUCAGAGUUCAAAUUCUGGGAAAACAGGAUCUGCCUUCUUUAAAUGAAGUGAUAUCCAUGGUUAGAGCAGAAGAGAGCAGAUGAGGAGUGAUGCUUGACAGUGUGCAUGUAGAAGGAUCUGCUAUGGUCUCUAAUGGUGGGAAGAACCAAAGCUUAGAACAAUUACCGGUCAGUGAGAAUGGGAAAGGUGAUUCGGCUAAAACUUCAAAUCGCGACAAUCUUUGGUGCACCUAUUGCAAGAAGCCAAGGCACACCAGAGAUCGUUGCUGGAAACUACAUGGAAAACCUUCAACUUCAAGCAAAGAAUGGGGUUAUAAAGGAGGACAGCCAAGAAAUCAAGGACAAGCUCACAUGACUGCAAUGGAGUCAAACCAGGAGAAGUCUCAGGAACAAAGAGAGUUGGAUAAAAAAGAGAUUGAGAAACUGAGAAGCCUAUUGGGAACUCUUGAAAAGGCUACUGGUGUAUGCUCCUUGGCACACUCAGGACCAGGGUUCGGGGAAGAGGAUUGGACUUGCUAAGGAGAAGGAUG